GUGAAAGGAGUCCAUGGAUAUUGCAGAAUCGAAACACCCCUUAGGAGGCUGAGGCAGGAGGAUCUCCAUGAGUUUAAGAGGAAGAAGAUGUCAGAGAGACCCGUGGCACUAGUCCUGGAGACCACAGGCGUUGAUGUUUCUCUCUAGGCCUGUGCCACCACACUGGAAGUGCUCAGAGGACCAACCUUCCACAACCCCGGCCCGCUCAGCCCUCUCUGCCUGUGUCCCUCCAGCCUGUGUGUGCCUCCUCGCCUGGCACCAGACAUGGAGUCCAGAGGCUGUGGCACCUGCCUGAGCUGCUGGGCUCUGGCUCCUCCAGGAAGUGUGGUGGCCACACUGCCCUGUCCCCAGGUCUGAGGCUGUCGGGCAGCUGGGGGUGCUGGGGCUCCCCAAAGCCUUGCUCCUCUGGCUGGCAGCAUGGCCCGGCCUCCCCUCACCCUAUCUCAGUCAGGGGGUGCAGCCCGUGGGAGGAGCGGCCAGGAGGGGCCCUGGAGGGCUCGGGGCUCUGAUCCCAGGGGGUGGGGCUGUGCAGCCCCUCAGCUUCUCCCGGAUCCCAGCAGUUAAGGCUCCUGAGGCUGCUGGAUCCUGAGCUCAGCCACGAUAAAUGUGAUCAUUAUGUCCUGCAAGCGCAGACAAAAAAAAUAAAGAAGAAUUGU